UAUGUUUUGUGGUGAAAUAAGACCCACCAAGUGAUGCCUUUCUUUCUCCUUGGAUCUUUUCUGAACCUAACGAUUCUUUUUCGACCUCCCGUCGACGUAACGCUCCGCCGUUAUGGCAUAUAAUCAACACAACCCACUAAUCCCACUUUCACCUCUUCAUUGCAUGUUUAAUUCCUCAAUCGUGAGCUUUUUCCAGAGUAUAAAUAUAUAUUCUCAUUGGCCUUUCAAAUGCCUCUAAACUUCCUUUAGAUUCGUUUUAUUUUGAAAGCUUAGACAGGCCGGUGUAGGUAAAUGUCAAAAAAAGAAGCCAGUUGAUGCUUUGAUGGGGGUUGAUAUGUUGGUGCUUGAUUCCAAGAAAAAGUGGUCACUCUAACUUGAACUAAAAAGCAACGAUCGCAAGCUCUCUGCGGCGGAGCAGUUGGUGUUCGACAUCUACAACCAAGAACUCAGGGAGAAUUCUGCUUCACGAGUUUUGUAAGGUCGUUCAUUAUCUUUCUCUAUGCAGUUAAACUUACCUUACUUAGUGUUGCUUAUGAAUGAAUUCUGAUCAUCUCGGUUUUUGUAUUCUUAAAUCGAUUUUUUUCCUACAAGGUCUUGGUUUGUUUUGCUCGGUUAAUCUAGGAUAUGCUUUCAGAUUUGUAGGAUAAUCGUUGAGACUCUAGACAAUUAAAAAGUUUAAUGGUUUUGAUGUUCCAUAAUAAUAUAACAUAUGUCGUGUAUUUUUGCUUUGCUUUCAUUUUUCCGAAGAGAGAGAUUUUUGAUGAUUUGGCUUCGCUGUUGUGGCACUCUGUUGGUACCGUUCCUGCUCUACUGCAGGUUUAGAGGUUAGUGGGAAGAAGGCGAUGCAAGAAGUUUUCUUGAACUGAUAAUUUUAGCUUGGACAAGCACAUGAAUGGAUGAAAGCUGAAGAAUCACUGGCCAGUCACUUCAAUAUCUUAAACAGAGGAGGAAUGGAUGCCAAUGAGAACUUCAGCUCUCAGUUCUCUUCCGCUGUAUCAUCCUCUCUUGAUGUUUUUGAUGUUGUUGACGCCAGCCUUCUUACUUCCAUUGAUCAUUCAUUGAAACUCGAUAAUGGUGCAUAUGCUAAGAUCAACUCCAUGAUCAUCCCAUGCUGUGAAGACUUUGAUAGAUCCCAAGAGUGAUCACAGUCACAAGAUCAUAGAGAUCACAAACAACGCAUGGAAAUAUCUUCUUGAUGGAAACUUAGUGGAUGAACCUUUGUGUUCAACACCCUGGAAAAGACCAAAGGACAUACCAAGCAUUGAGUCCAUUGAGGAACUUAGAAUCCCAGCAUCUGAGACUUGCUGAGAGCGCGUCAAGAUGGGAAACUGUUGAAGCAGGCUAAUGGUGAUGCAAAGCAGCAGCAACAACACCUUAUACGUGCUUCUUCUGUUUACGAGGCAGCUGUGUCGGACUCAAGAUCUCCCCUCUCUGCUAAGAGGAUUGAUUUUACAGAAGCCAAGAGAAGAAGGUUAUUAUUGUGUCACACUCUACAGAGAGUAUACAUGUCAACUUAUUUUCUUCGUGGAGGUGGUUUGAGGAUUUUACAAGAACUUUACUUUUCUUAUUAUUCUUUUUUUUUUUUUUUAGUUAGGAUUUGUAUUGUUUAUUAGUUGGAACAAAAGAAAUUAUUAUCUUCUGAAUCAGUAUAUUUAUGAGUCGUGUUAGUUUUAAUUACAAGCAAAUAUAUUAGGCUUUACGAUGUCGGAUACGUCAUUAGCUUGAGAUUUGCGAUUUCUAUGGUAUA